AAUUUUGGACAAUGGGGGCAACCCUGAUCCAGCCAUGCCGCGUGAGUGAAGAAGGCCUUCGGGUUGUAAAGCUCUUUCGGUAGGAACGAAACGGUUACGGCUAAUACCCGUGACUAAUGACGGUACUUACAGAAGAAGCACCGGCUAACUACGUGCCAGCAGCCGCGGUAAUACGUAGGGUGCGAGCGUUAAUAGGAAUUACUGGGCGUAAAGGGCGCGCAGGCGGUCUCGUAAGCUGGGUGUGAAAGCCCCGGGCUUAACCUGGGAAUGGCAUUCAGGACUGCGAGGCUUCGAGUGCGGCAGAGGGAGGUGGAAUUCCACGUGUAGCAGUGAAAUGCGUAGAGAUGUGGAGGAACACCGAUGGCGAAGGCAGCCUCCUGGGCCAGCACUGACGCUCAUGCACGAAAGCGUGGGGAGCAAACAGGAUUAGAUACCCUGGUAGUCCACGCCCUAAACGAUGUCAACUGGUUGUUGGUGGGGUUAAACCCAUUAGUAACGAAGCUAACGCGU
rnacentral:rRNA from 1 species